rnacentral:lncRNA from 1 species
CGUCUCUCGCGCCCCCUCCCCUCUCCUCUCUUCCUUCUUGGUAGGAGGGCGGGAGCCCUGCGUCACGCUGGCGCCGUGUCCCCGCCCACAAUGGCGAGGUGGGGCGGGGCCCAGGGGGGCGGGCUUAGAAGACGGGAAGGGGUGUGGCUGGGGGAGGGGGCGGAGACAGAGGGAGGAGCGGGGAGGAGCUGAAGCAGACGCUAGCGGGGAGAGUGCGUCAUGACGUCAUGGAAAAGAGUCUUUAUAUACAGGUGCCUGGACGCCAUCUCGGUCUUUCGAGGCUGGGAGUGAGUGGCUGGUAUGUUUGUGCUUUUGCAGUUGCUGAAUGGGUUCUUGGUUCUAGGCCUCCAGGCCUUGGCUGUCAAAGGCACCUUCAAGUGGCUGGCAUUUCUAGUCCAGUUGCAAGCCUUUGCAGGACUCACAGACGACGAUGGUGGAAGAUUGCGCGUUGGGUGGUGGCGCGACCUAAACUACUGCAGUGGUGAUUAGGGCUGAACUGCGGGAAUAUCUCGGCUCGCGUGUCCUGCCUCUGAUGAAGCCUGUGUUGGAAUGGUGCGAGGCACGAAUACAAUGUGGCUUUUGAUGGCACCAGAUGGACAGGUCUUUGCCAGAGGGCUGAGAACAGCUGCUGGGGUAAGUUACUGGAAUUCCUCACAAAGGGAAGUAGGUCGAAAAUGCGCUGAAUGUGCCACAAUGAUGACAUUUUAUUUGCUACUCUUGACUGUAAGAAUGACGAGAAUUAUUACCACCGUUAUCCUAACUGAGGCACACAGAAUGGUGAUUUGGAGAACAUCGAGAUUGCACGUGAGUUUACAUGAAGCUAUUUCUUCGCAGGUCCUAAAGGGCAAGCUUCACACACAAGCUGUGGGCAAACAGGUGAGAAGCCUUUUUAUAGUCCACAUUUACCCAGUACUUUUCAGUUAA